UACGUAGGGAGCAAGCGUUGUCCGGAAUCAUUGGGCGUAAAGCGCGCGUAGGUGGCUUCGUAAGUCCGCUGUGAAAGUCAAAGGCUCAACCUUUGAAAGCCGGUGGAUACUGUGAAGCUAGAGUCCGGAAGAGGAGUGUGGAAUUCCUGGUGUAGCGGUGAAAUGCGUAGAUAUCAGGAGGAACACCUGUGGUGUAGACGGCUCUCUGGACCGCAACUGACGCUGAGACACGAAAGCGUGGGUAGCAAACAGG
rnacentral:rRNA from 1 species